GGAAGACAUUAUGGUUUGAUCCUUGUCUUUUGCUAUAUAUAGUAUACUUUUUAUCUGUAUUUAUUUAAUAAAACAUAAUAAUAACAGUAUGAUCCUACAUGUAGGCAAAGCACUAAAGGAAAACCUAAUUCUGCUUACAAUACAUACAUUUAAUUAGCAGAGGUUUGGCAUUGCUCACUUUUUAUUAAUGAUUGACAUUUUAAAACAGAGCAGAGCAGAAUGUAUUACAACCAUCUCACACAUAAACAUACUUAAACACAUUGCUUCAGCCAGCACUAGGGUAUCAAAAUGUGGCAGAACAGCACAUGUUGCAAAAUCCUAACAGGACCGAACAUUGGCCUGAAAAAAUAGGAAGCUAAUGGCAGAACUGCACUAAGACUGCAAGAGUUUGCUUUAUCCCUCAACUCUAAUGCAGUCUUUGAGAAUACAUGUCUACAUAACUAGCCUAUAAGGGUUAAGCCACUAGCACCACUGAAAAGAAAGCGGAAAUGUCUUAAACAAGAAAAAAAACCGACACACUGAACAUCAAAAUGUACUCAGUAAUGCAAAUGAAAACACAGAUGAUACAUCCAUCCAUCUAUCCAUUAUCCAACCCGCUAUUUCCUAACUACAGGGUCACAGGGGUCUGUUGGAGCCAAUCCCAGCCAACACAGGGUACAAGGCAGAAAACAAACCGUAGGCAGGGCACCAGCCCACCGCAGGCAGAUGAUACAACAAUACUAAAAACAACGGAAAACAUUUUCCAUCAACUGUCAAAAAAAAAAAAAAAUCUAAAUUUGAAAAUCUGACCCUGUAUCUAUUUGUUCUUUUAAAGAAUCACAAGAUGGCUACUGUGGAAUCACCCACUGGCACUGAAUGACCACACUGCAGGAGUCACCAUGCAGCAACCAUCAUGAAGUCCCAAAAAAUAAAUAAAGAGAUGAUAAAACGGCACAGUGCCAAAAUGCCAUGAAGCAGCUGUGGACCCUGACAAUGUGUCCAGAUGAUUGACAGCUAUAACACCUCUGAUGUCACUUCUGGUGUCCAUCCGCAUAGACCCGACUGUUCCUGAUGGAUGGACUCAAAUCUGGAAGCUCUGUCAUCUUUGUUGUGAACUUGUAACCACUGAAGACUAAGCCAAAAUUUGUCACUUCCUUCCUUUGUAGAUGACCUCACUUCCGUCCCGUCCUGAUGACAUCAUUUCCUGUCCAUACCAACGCCAUCUUUUCAUUUC